CGUACACUCCUGCGGGAGGCAGCAGUGGGGAAUCUUGCGCAAUGGGCGAAAGCCUGACGCAGCCAUGCCGCGUGAAUGAUGAAGGUCUUAGGAUUGUAAAAUUCUUUCACCGGGGACGAUAAUGACGGUACCCGGAGAAGAAGCCCCGGCUAACUUCGUGCCAGCAGCCGCGGUAAUACGAAGGGGGCUAGCGUUGCUCUGAAUUACUGGGCGUAAAGGGAGCGUAGGCGGACAUUUAAGUCAGGGGUGAAAUCCCGGGGCUCAACCUCGGAAUUGCCUUUGAUACUGGGUGUCUUGAGUAUGAGAGAGGUGUGUGGAACUCCGAGUGUAGAGGUGAAAUUCGUAGAUAUUCGGAAGAACACCAGUGGCGAAGGCGACACACUGGCUCAUUACUGACGCUGAGGCUCGAAAGCGUGGGGAGCAAACAGGAUUAGAAACCCCUGUAGUCCCAUG
rnacentral:rRNA from 1 species